rnacentral:rRNA from 1 species
CCUACGGGCGGCAGCAGUGAGGAAUAUUGGUCAAUGGACGAGAGUCUGAACCAGCCAAGUAGCGUGAAGGAUGACUGCCCUAUGGGUUGUAAACUUCUUUUAUAUGGGAAUAAAAUGUUCCACGUGUGGGAUUUUGUAUGUACCAUAUGGAUAAGGAUCGGCUAACUCCGUGCCAGCAGCCGCGGUAAUACGGAGGAUCCGAGCGUUAUCCGGAUUUAUUGGGUUUAAAGGGAGCGUAGGUGGAUUGUUAAGUCAGUUGUGAAAGUUUGCGGCUCAACCGUAAAAUUGCAGUUGAAACUGACAGUCUUGAGUACAGUAGAGGUGGGCGGAAUUCGUGGUGUAGCGGUGAAAUGCUUAGAUAUCACGAAGAACUCCGAUUGCGAAGGCAGUUCACUGGACUGCAACUGACACUGAGGCUCGAAAGUGUGGGUAUCAAACAGGAGUAGAUACCCUGGUAGUC